AGUGAACGCUGGCGGCAGGCCUAACACAUGCAAGUCGAACGGCAGCACAGUAAGAGCUUGCUCUUACGGGUGGCGAGUGGCGGACGGGUGAGGUAUACACCGGACUCUACUUUUUCGUGGGGGAGAACGUAGGGGAACUUACGCUAAUACCGCAUACGACCUACGAGUGAAAGCAGGGGAUGUUCGGACCUUGCGCGAUUGAAUGAGCCGAUGUCGGAUUAGCUAGUUGGAGGGGUAAAGGCCACCGAAGGCCACGAUCUGUUGCUGGUCUGAGAGGAGGAUCAGCCACACUGGAACUGAGAAACGGUCCAGACUCCUAAGGGAGGCAGCAGGGGGGAAUAUUGGAAAAGGGGCGCAAGCCUGAUCCAGCCAGUCCGCGGGGGUGAAGAAGGCCUCGGGUUGUAAAGCCCUUUUGUUGGGAAAGAAAAGCAGCAGGUUAAUACCCCGCUGUUCUGACGGUACCCAAAGAAUAAGCACCGGCUAACUUCGUG
rnacentral:rRNA from 1 species